CUCUGAAUUAUCAGUUUCCAUUCACCUUUUAUACUUUUACAAUGUAAUGCCCAUGGGCUGGUUCCUGGCUUUGUUUAGUCAGUAACCCUGUGUGCUUUCAUUCAUGAACUGAGGGGAACUGACACACAUCCCAGUAUUUAGGCAAAAAGAGUUUUUGGAAAUACAAAUUAUGACAUUUAAGGGGUAUUUACUUGACUCUUUCACAAACAAUGAAUGCAUCCUCUUAG